GUCCCUUCUCCCCUAGUGUGGGGGUCUGUGGGCUCCCCAGGGUAGUGCUUAAGCACUUUGCAAGAGGUGCAGGCUGCUCAUUUCUCCGAUUCCCAGUUCCCUCUGUUUCCUGGGAGGGACGCUUUGCUGCAGCUUCACCUGCUUAUCCCUACUCUCUACAGCUAGAUCAUUGUCCAGGCCUUAAGCUCUGUCAGUCGGGCA
rnacentral:lncRNA from 1 species